GAUGAACGUUGGCGGUGUGCCUAAUACAUGCAAGUCGAACGGAGAUCAUAAAGUAGUAAUACCUUGUGAUUCUUAGUGGCGAACGGGUGAGUAACGCGUUGGUGACCUGCCCCGAAGUGUGGAAUAACAAUUCGAAAGAAUUGCUAAUACCGCAUGUGAUUUAGAGACUAGAUGCUCUUUAAUCAAAGGAUUUAUUCGCUUCGGGAGGGGCCUGCGUCCCAUCAGCUAGUUGGUAAGGUAAUGGCUUACCAAGGCUAUGACGGGUAGGGGACCUGAGAGGGUGGCCCCCCACAAUGGAACUGAAACACGGUCCAUACACCUACGGGUGGCAGCAGUAGGGAAUAUUAGUAAUGGGCGAAGGCCUGAACUAGCAACACCGCGUGUGCGAAGAAGGCCUUCGGGUUGUAAAGCACUUUUCGGGAGGAUGAGGAAGGACGGUACUCCCGGAAUAAGUCUCGGCUAACUACGUGCCAGCCGCCGCCGUAAGAC
rnacentral:rRNA from 1 species